rnacentral:rRNA from 1 species
UACGAAGGUCCCAAGCGUUGUCCGGAUUUAUUGGGCGUAAAGAGCUCGUAGGCGGCUCAGUAAGUCAGGUGUGAAACCUCCAGGCUCAACCUGGAGACGCCACCUGAUACUGCUGUGGCUAGAGUCCGGUAGGGGAGCGUGGAAUUCCUGGUGUAGCGGUGAAAUGCGCAGAUAUUGGGAGGAACACCAGCGGCGAAGGCGGCACUCUGGGCUGGUACUGACGCUGAGGAGCGAAAGCGUGGGUAGCGAACAGG